GAAUUUGUUUCAAAAUUAAUUGAAACACUAACUCUUACAUUAUUUGGUGUAUCUGCCUUUUUUUUUUUCUUUCUGAAUCUAUGUAUUAUAUAGUAGUUCAUACAUGUUUGAGUUUGCACAGAUUUGUUUGGGUCAUGCAUGUUUGAUCUUUUAGAGAUUUGUUUUGGUCUGUUUGAGUUUGUAGAGAUUUGUAAUUCAGAUUGUAGGGUGUUUGUAGAGAACUGUUAGGGUUCGCUCAAUUCUGUAGCGAUUUGUUUGGUGUUUUAAUUUUUGUUAUAUUUCUGUACAAUUCUAUAGAGAGUUGUUUGAGCUUUACUUUUUGUUAUAUUUUUGUAAAAUUCUGUAGAGAUUUACUAGGGGAUUUAGUUUUCUUAGUUUGAUUUUGUAUGUUAUAGUUUAGUUGUAGUCCAAAGAGGAGCCUUACAUAAGUAUUGAAGUUAUGAUCUGGGUUUCACUUUGGAGUCUUAAAGUUCACUUUCUUUUCCAGUUUCGAGCCUUAUAAGUUAACUUUCAUUUUGCACUUCUCAUAUUAAUUUAAUUAUGCUAUUAAGCUAAAUUCCAUAUUUGUACUUGAUAGGUUGUCGAGGAAUCAAAAUUGGUGGUCAAGGUAAAGCUAAACAUCAACAGUAAUUGUUUGAUAGUCGCUGAAGCAAAACUUGGGGGUCCAGUGGAUGUAUUUUGUGGAAAGGUAUCUAGGACACUUGAAGUCUUUUGUGCGGAACAUGUCACAACCAGAAGGUUGCAUAGCUGAAGGACACGUUGCUGAAGAUGCUCUUAACUUUUUUUCUCAAUAUCUUGAAGGGAUCGAGACAAGAAUUAAUAGACCACGCCGUGUUAAUGAUUAUCCCGAGGACAAAGGUUUGACAAAUUCAUCUAGUAUUUUUCCACCAGUUGGUAAAGGAGUAGGAGGUGAAACAUUUGAGUUGUCACCUAUGGUGAAACGUCAAGCUCAUCGAUAUGUGGUACUCAAUUGUCCGCAAGUCACGCCAUUUAUUGAUGAAUUUAAAGAUCAUAUACGAAGGCAGUGGAAGGGUCGGAAACCUUCAAGUACGGAUAUAGAGAAGAUUGUUAAUAAAGACUUUAUUGAUUGGUUUCCUCGAAAGAUUAUGAACCCUGACAAUUCGAGUGCUGUGUCAGAUGACCUAAAGUUUUUAUCAAAUUGUCCAACACCACAUGCUAGAAGGUUUACAAUAUUCAAUAUCAAUGGAAUCAAAUUUCGGACAAGAAGUCGAGAAGAUGAGUUGAUAACUCAGAAUAGUGGAGUUGUUCUGACUUCAUCAACAGCUUGUGUUGCUAGUAGUUCUGAUGGAAACUUGAGGCUAGCAGAUUUGUCUUAAAGUAUUCAAUGAGAUGCCGAAGAAAAAUCAGUAUAAAAGUAUGUUCAUAUCAGCGGUCAACUCUUCUCCUGCUCCAGGUCCAGGAAAGUCAUCAUUGUUUCAACGUCAAGCUCAAGCUUUAUCUUCAUCAUCACAAUAAAAAAUAAGUCAACAUGUUCCAUCUUCCUCGUCUGAUGGAGAUUCUUCACAAUCUGUCUUUCCAGCUUCUUUCGACGGAGUUUCUUCAGCGUCAACUAAACAUAAAGACGAUCAAGAUUGACCAAUAUCAAGUAACAAAAACGGUUCGAAUGAAGAUCAAGGAUGUCCAUAACUUAGAAAAUGGAGCGCGGAUAGUCGUAGAAUGUGAUGAAUACGGUGUACCUAUUGGAAAAGCAGCUUACAUAAUUGCAGGAGUUAUGGGGCAGCUUGCCACGAAUGCUUUGUACUUCCCUAUUAGCUUUACGAAAUGGUCAGAUAUGCCCAAUUCUUACUUGGACCGUGUUUUUGAUGAAAUACUAAUGGCUCGAUUUCUCUUUAGGAUUGAUUAUCAAAAAGCAAAAAGAUGGGCUGGCAGUAAUAUUAACAAAAAGUGGAAGGAUCACAGGCAUAAAUUGUGGCAUGCGGCAAAAAAUCCACUAUUGAGUAAAGAAGAGAUCAUCAGAAAAUAUCCGAAUGGCAUACCUACGGAUCAGUGGGCAAUGUUUGUUAAUUAUCGCAUGGACGAGAAACACAAAAACUUUGCAAAAAGAAUCAACUAAGUCGACAAAAUCCAAUUCCUCAUACGGGAGGUGCAAAGAGUUUAGCUAGAAGAAGAGCUGAAAUGAUGGCCAAGGGAAAAGGUGUUGAUCGAGGCAAUGUGGACUGAAACUCAUAAGAGAAAAGAUGGAAGUUAUGUAACAGAGGCGGCUAGAGAGAUUGGGGAGAGAAUUGAAGAAAUUCGUCGUCUUAGGCCAGAAAGUAUUGUCGAAAUUUCACCAAAUGAUGCACUUGGUAUAGUACUCGGUCCUGAACACCCGGGUCGUGUUCGAGCGUUAGGCUUGGGUGUUGUUCCAACUAUGGCAUUCAAACAAACAUCUAGGAGAUUUAAACAUGUUGAUUUGAGUUCAUCUAGCGCUCCACCUCCAAAGUGGCAACAAGAGAUGGCGAGUAUGAAAUCACAAUUGAAUGCGCUACUUAGCUUAUAUCAAAAGAACAUAGGGAAUGUCCCUAAGAGUUUGCUCACUUGUUUCCACCUCCUCCACAGGCACCCGAUCCAGAAAGUGGGGCACAUCAGUCACACAUCGGAUAAAUCAUCAAUUAGAAAUCUAUGAUGGACUAAGCAUCAACUAGGAAUCAUUUUAGUUUUUUUUUUUGGAUAUUCUAGUUGAAUGACACUUGAAAUUACUAUUUUGAUGAUGUAAUUUUGGAGCUUUGAUUAACACUUCAAAACAAUAAUAUUUUGAUGAUAUAAUUUUGGAGUACUUUUGUAUAAUGUGAUGAAUAUUUUGAUCAUUUGAU